GUAGGUGAACCUGCGGAAGGAUCAUUAACACGUAUCCAACGUUAAACAACCCUGUGAACCUUGAACGUGCUCUCGUACACGCUCUAGCAGCAAUCCCUGGUAAAUCAUGGUUGACCAGCUAUUGAGUCUGGGACUUCUGCUAGAAAACCAUACGAUACGAGCGCCAGAGUAAGUGCGGCCUGGCAUCCUAGCAAUCUGUCAGUGGUUGCGCAAGGAUGGCGCAGUAAACGAUCGCUGUAGGCCCACACGGCCGGCGACCGGGCCUCUGUGCUUCGGACAACUGUUAACAAUGAUAUCUUGGUUCUU
rnacentral:misc_RNA from 1 species